rnacentral:rRNA from 1 species
UACGAAGGGGGCUAGCGUUGCUCGGAAUCACUGGGCGUAAAGCGCACGUAGGCGGAUUGUUAAGUCAGGGGUGAAAUCCUGGAGCUCAACUCCAGAACUGCCUUUGAUACUGGCGAUCUCGAGUCCGGGAGAGGUGAGUGGAACUGCGGAGUGUAGAGGUGAAAUUCGUAGAUAUUCGCAAGAACACCAGUGGCGAAGGCGGACUUACUGGUCCGGUUCUGGACGCUGAGGCGCGAAAGCGUGGGGAGCAAACAGG